AGCGGUAGUAGUGGAAAUGAUAGUUUUGAUGUUGGAGGUUACCUGGUUCGAUGCCUUGUCCAUAAGGCACUUAGCAAUGCGGUUCUUCUUGAGGGCGUUGAAGAGGGACACCUUGCUUGGAGAACAGGAUGCAAUGGCCACGGUGGCCAUUCCCAUCACUUCACCAAUUGCAUCAUCCUCCUCAUCCUCAUUGGAGAGGUACUCGUCUUGAGCCACCAACACCUUUUGGGGCUUGUUCUUGAAGAAGUUGUUCUUGUUGGGGAAGGUCUUGGCCUUGUCUUUACGAAUAAGUUUUCCACCAUUGUCUUCCCUCUUCUCAUAGGGACAAUCAGCCACAAAGUGAAUUACAUUACCAUAGUUGUAGU
rnacentral:lncRNA from 1 species